CCCCACCACAAACCCUCUUUAGAAGACUGGGGGCUCCUAAAGCAUUGAGGCCGAGAGUCCCGUCCUUGUGCAUGUUUGGGCAUUGACCCAGGGCCAAGUCAGUGGGAGACUCCUCCACGCCUACGCCAGGUCCCCAGGUGACAACUGCAGUCUCUGGAUCUGAAGUCAUCCACUUUCCCAUUCCUAGCUCACCUCACCCAUCGUGAAGCCUGGAUUUCCUUUUUAUCACUGGUUUUGAUGGAUUUGAUUAAGGCGUUCCUUGGUGAAGUUUUCUUCAUGUUUCUUGUUCUUAGAAUAAUCAUAUUUCUGUAAUAUUUGAAGUUUAUGGUUUCCAUGGAGCUUCUAAAUCUUUCAUCCAGUAUGUUUUAAAUAUCUUUGUCUCUCUUCUCCACUACACGCCCUUCAGGGAUUCCAUUUAGCCCUAUACUGGGGCGUUUAAAGUUUUGAUGCCGAUGGUGUUUUUAUGUUUUCAAGUCAUUUGUUACUGUGUGUUUCAUUUAUGUUAGUUUCAACUUCUAUUCCUUCUAGUUCAAUAAUCUUCUCUUCUGCAAUGUUUAAUCCACUGCCUUCUUCCAUUUCAGACUGUAAAUCAUACUUUUUAUCUACAGAAUUUGAUAUUUAAAAAAUCUUCAACCUCCCCAUUUAAUUAAAAUACAAUUAUACUAA
rnacentral:lncRNA from 1 species